AGAGUUUGAUCCUGGCUCAGAACGAACGCUGGCGGCGUGGAUAAGACAUGCAAGUCGAGCGCUGAUUACGAGGUAGCAAUAUUUCGUAGUUGGAGCGGCGCAAGGGUGCGUAACACGUGGGUAAUCUGCCAUGAAGUUUGGGAUAACUCGCUGAAAGGCGAGCUAAUACCGGAUGUGACGAUUGGAAGGCAUCUUCUGAUCUUCAAAGUUGGGGACCGUAAGGCCUGACGCUUCAUGAUGAGCCCGCGGCCUAUCAGCUAGUUGGUGAGGUAACGGCUCACCAAGGCUAAGACGGGUAGCUGGUCUGAGAGGACGACCAGCCACACUGGAACUGAGACACGGUCCAGACACCUACGGGUGGCAGCAGUCGAGAAUUUUUCACAAUGGGGGAAACCCUGAUGGAGCGACGCCGCGUGGGGGAUGAAUGGCUUCGGCCCGUAAACCCCUGUCAUUCGCGAACAAUGCCUGUGUAUUAACACCAUACAGGUUGAUAGUAGCGGAAGAGGAAGGGACGGCUAACUCUGUGCCAGCAGCCGCGGUAAUAC
rnacentral:rRNA from 1 species